UAUGUAUACAAACUACGUAUAUAAUAUGACGUCACAAAGCUAACGGCACCAUGGGGGAUUAGCUCAAAUGGUAGAGCGCUCGCUUAGCAUGCGAGAGGUAGCGGGAUCGAUGCCCGCAUCCUCCAAAGACACUUUUACUUUUGAGAAACGGGUGUAAUCGUCGCUUUUACACGUCCACCUGGUAUCGUAUUGUCAGGGCCAUGGCUCUGGUUCUUGUGCCUUACAAGAAUGACUGAACCGAAAUGACUGUCUCCCAGCUGGCCUGCUUUGUUGGAGAACAGAUCAUUAAAUCAUCAGCAUACUGCAGUAAUGAUGAACCACAUGAUGAGCUGGUUCCCUCUGUCAUUUCACCUUUGUUCCUGAGUGCGUUGAGCCAGAGCAGCAGCACAAGCCACAGUCUGCUGG